CCAUGAAGUGACAAAUUCCAUGUUAGAAAAAUCAUGUAAAGACAUGGGUUUGACACAGUUUAUAAUCACUUGGUCCUCCCAUACUUUACAUGCCGUAGUUUGACAAAGGAAGAUUGAAAAUCAUGUAUACAUGCAUCCACAGAUGCUUUCACUUCAGCACGACUACAGUAUACAAAAGGUUGAAUAUCACCUUCGGCCUAUCCAUCAGUUUGGAUAUUUAUCACCUUCAGCAAGACUACUUAUUCAUUAGAAAUGGAUCUCUUGAAUAUCACCUUCGGCUUAUCCAUCAGUUUGGAGAUUUAUCACCUUCAGCAAGACUACUUAUUCAUUAGCAAUGGACCUCGUGACCUUUAUUGUCAAUCUACAUUUUCGAAGUAUAUUUAAAUGAAAACACGAGGGCUCUAUAAAAGGCUCCCACAUAACCUACACACAUAUAAAAGGCCCAUGACUGCUCCACUGUCAAGAAAGCAUUACCAAAAACCAGAAUGAGCCAAAUGUUGAAGCUGAAAAAGAGGAUACACCAAUCAACAUAUUUGAGUACCAAAAAAAGGCACGUAGACAUAAAACAAUUGUUGUCUGAUCAAUUAAAAAAUGGACAACUUUUUUCGUUAGGUGCAAAGUGAACUUCAAAGUUAUCUUACAGAUUUAGUUGCAAGGUUGACCAAGCAAAGCGAAUGACCCAUUACUACUGAACGUACAGAAUCGUGUUUGGAUAGCACCAACUAAUGUUUCAUUAUGUGACAUUUUUCACAUUAUUCAGCGCGCUUCAAUAAUUUAUAGUGCCCCUUUCUUAAAAGUAAUAUAUCUUUAUUUCAACAUUACCAUAGAAAAUAUCCUUCCAAAACAUGAUCGGCACAGAGCAAAAACCACACAUAUAUCUUUAUUUGAACAUGAAAAAGGAUGAAAAACACAUAAACAUGUAGUUAUAUAGAUGUGAACAUAUCAAAUACUUGUUUUCAUGAAUAUCUUGAAGUAUCACAGUCCUAUAUUUUAUUUUUGCUGGAAAUCACACUCCUAUACUAAAAGGCUAAUCUCCAAAUAAGUAAAUAAAUUAUUUCUCUUAUACUCCCUCUGUAAAGAAAUAUAAGAGCGUUUGGAUCACUACUUUAGUUAUCUAAACACUCUUAUAUUUAUUUACAGAGGGAGUACAUCAUAUCAAUGUACAGAAUCUCAGCCUGCAAAUAAAAAUCCUCAGAUAUGUGCAUUGAGUUUUUUGCUGUUAUUAUCCUAGCAGGAGCCCCCUAUCUCAUCUUUUACUGUUCGUUUAUACUUAAAAGUAAAAUACACGACGUUGAUCAUUAUUUUUGUUCGAAAGUAGCAUAAUCCAAAUUAGCCGAUGUGGAAUCCCUUAGAACUAAUCAGGCUGACAUAAAGCCGGUGAAAUCAAUAACACAAUAGAACAAUAAUUAAAUGCUUAGUUUUAAGCAUUGUUGAGGAAAUCGUUUACUGGUAGCUGCUCGGUUGGCUGGUGAGUAGGGGAUUAAUAGGCUAAUCGGCAAGUUAAUCUGCCAUUUAAUCAAUUAAUCAGAUGAUUUAUCGAUUUAUCGGCUACUCGGUGACCCUACGAGUAGAGAUUAAUCGGCAAGUUAACUGGUUAGUCGGAUGAAUUCUUGAACAGGGGUUUUAAGUUUUACUUAAAGGCAUAGACCUGUAAAGUAGUUAUCCAACCAAUUAGAUAAAAGACCUUGAUUUGAGUAUACCUGGACUUAAACCUUUCAUUAGCAAUCAUUUUGUUGUUGGU
rnacentral:lncRNA from 1 species